GUGGUUCAAUAUGAAGUCAAGGGUAUCUAGG
rnacentral:piRNA from 1 species